ACAAAAACUUGCAUUCUCUGUUUCCCUUUCCCUUUUGGGGCAUCAAUAAGAGAAAAGAAGUUAAUUACUUAUAAGAGGUCAAAAAGGAAAAUAUAAAGGAGAAAGGAUAUACUAGUCUUAAGGAAGAUAUAAACUAAAGGAUUUGGUGGCAGCCGCAAGGGAUUUGAAGAAUCUUUAAUUGCAAUUGAAUUCCAAAAGGUACAUGAUUUGUGCCUAUGAGCCUUGAGAUUUACAUGGAAAUAGCGUGCAGAUGAAGAGUAUAAGGCUCCGAUCCUCCUGAUCGCAGACAUCCACGUUAGGCUCUAUUGCCAUUUUCAGCUGAUAUUUUGGUAAGCACCAACUCUCUCUGGAGCCAGUCUAUGCCUAAUAUUUUUUAUUAUAUGUACAGGUCUCUAGUUGGGUAUAACGGGCCGGAUGCCAACUAGUCACUUGUAGUAUAAUGUGUUAAACUGACUAGAGGCUUCAUGGACAUUGUGUAGUAUUGUAUAGUUUUGUUAAUGUAAAUCCCUCGUGUAUAUAUGUAACUCUUAUUGAAUACCUUGCUCGUUAUUAUUCCAUAACCUCGCGUAUGUCACAGAGUGCUUGUAGAAUGUGUGUAUACGGUUCUUGUUCGUCCUUAAUUUGGGGCAUGACAUGGGACCACCAUUUCAAUAAUUCAAUUCAAAGAAAUUCUUUCUCAAACCUCAUGUAAACACAUGCUAUAAACUCAUCUUUGUCAAGCAUUUC